rnacentral:rRNA from 1 species
CAUAUCAAUAAGCGGAGGAAAAGAAACCAACAGGGAUUGCCCUAGUAACGGCGAGUGAAGCGGCAAAAGCUCAAAUUUGAAAUCUGGCCCUAGCGGUCCGAGUUGUAAUUUGCAGAGGAUGCUUUUGGUGCGGUGCCUUCCGAGUUCCCUGGAACGGGACGCCAUAGAGGGUGAGAGCCCCGUACGGUUGGAUACCUAGCCUCUAUAUAGCUCCUUCGACGAGUCGAGUAGUUUGGGAAUGCUGCUCUAAAUGGGAGGUAAAUUUCUUCUAAAGCUAAAUACCGGCCAGAGACCGAUAGCGCACAAGUAGAGUGAUCGAAAGAUGAAAAGCACUUUGAAAAGAGGGUUAAAUAGCACGUGAAAUUGUUGAAAGGGAAGCGUUUGCGACCAGACCUUCUCCAGGGGGAUCAACCGCUGUUCUCAGCGGUGCACUACCCCUCUGGUUUAGGCCAGCAUCGGUUCUACUUAGGGGGAUAAAGGCCUGGGGAACGUAGCUACUUUAGGGAGUGUUAUAGCCCCUAGCGUAAUACCCUU